CCCAUGUAGGAAGCUCAAGGAGGCCGUUGUCACUGGAGAGAGAACCAGAAGGGACCUUAGAAGUCAGCUCACUCAACCCUCCUGCCUCCAGCCCCACUGUACAGAUGAUGAAACUCAAGCCCAAAAGGGCAGGGUUGCCCCAGGUUCCACUGUGUAUAACAAGGAUUCUGAAUACAGCUGAGGACUAUCCUGAUCAAAUAUGCAUACUUCAAAGAUUGCUUCAAUGGACUGAAUGGAAGGAAGAGGUUGCUGAUACCAUGGAAAUCAGUUAAAAGGCUCAUGAAAGAAUGCGAACAAAAAGUUUUUUCAACUGAAUUUGUCCUGCUCUACACCUCUUCCUCCACCCCUCCAAAAUAAAACAAGAUAAUACUGCCAAAUCUUGGAUAAGUAUUAUUCUUUCUAUUAUAAUCCAGAGAAGAUCAAACGCAGUUAAGCUAAAGAGAUUUUUAAAAGUUUAUCCAUGUAAUUUAUGGCAAGAUGAAUAGCACAGUAACCUUGGCUGAAUCAGUACGUAGAGCAUCAAGCUGAAUUUCGAAAGGUUAACAAAUGGAAGCAGAAACCACCCUGUAAUCGAAGCUACUAAGUUCAAAAUUGGCCCGAGGAAUUUCACCUGCUGUUGUGGACUUAUUUAACAGAUAUAAAAACAAAAGUUGAGUCCGGUUCUGGAAGUAAAGGGUGAGUCCAAGAAAUCCCUGAAUGGAUCCACCAUCUCUGGCCUAAUCAAUGUCACCAUGAAGGGGACCUGCAGGCAUUAGAGUGGGUCUUAGUCAUCAUCUCCAUGACUGAGCGGUGAAGAAGGAACCCAGGUGCCACUCAUUAUUGGAUCUCUCUCAAUCUCAGAAAAUAAGCUUUGCACCCGGGGCAGAGAUGAGGAGCAGAUAAAGUAGCAGCUCCCAGUAACCUCAAAUCCACAGCAUCUUUCAGUUACGUGUACUGUAAGAAAUAUUUAAGAUAUAAUUAACUGAAACACACUAAGAAAGAUAAUAUGUGCAGUAGAUUGUUAUAAAGAAGGUAAACCAGGAAGCAACUCUGUGGUUUAUGAGGUGGAAAGGCUUGAGGUUUGAUGUCGUUAAAGGGAAUUAAGUACAGAGGCCACAAAUGUUACAGGUGGUGCUGCAGUUGAAGGCAGAAAAUAUGCAGCGAUCAUAACUCUAAUACAUAUUACCCACAACAGAUUACCUCCAAAAUGGUGACAGUCAGGCCACCUCCAAAAUGAUGAGUCAGGAAAAGAUGAAGUUAGAGAGCUCUCCUUGAAAGCAACCCAGUAGCUUCUUUCUUAUUAAAUGAGAAAAUACUAUUACUCUCUAUCACUAUAUGUUAAGCUUCCCUGAGCUGAGAACACUGACAGCCAUGGCUAAGGUACAGGAGGUAGACCAAUGAGAGAGAACAUGCACUAGGAAUGAAGAUGAACACUGUGAAGAGGACCAGCUUACCAAUGACAGCUUAGAGAUACCAUCAGUAAAGAGGGUAAGAAAAAAUCAGACCACAAAACCCAGGAAAAACAGCUACCUCAAUUUUGGUACUGCUAUCCUUUUAAUUACCUACCCAAACACAAGAAAAUUGAUAAAGAGGGGAAAUCUAGCAUAUUACUCAUCUGAAAACAAAAUCCCUUAUCACAGAAAAUCUUAAACUCUUGCUACACAAAGUGUAAUUCAGGGACAAGCGGCAGCGCCAUCUCAUAGAACCUUGUUAGACAUACAGAAACUGAAACCCCACCUCAAAUCUACUAAGUCAGAAUCCUCACUUUUACAGUUUUCUCAGUUGUACACAUUAGGGUUAAGUAGCACUCCCUUAAAUCACAAUAAGCCUGCUACAGACUGAAUAUUUGCAUUCCUCCAAAAUUUAUAUGUUGAAAUCUAACUCCCAGUAUGAUGGUAUUAAGAGGUGUAGCCUUUGGAAGGUACUGAGGUCAUGAGGCAAAGUCCUCAUGAAUGGGAUUAGUGCCCUUAUCCAAGACAUGAGAGUGCUUGUUUUUUCUCUAUCUGCUCUCUGCCAUAUGAGGAUACACUCAGAAAUGUCCAUGUGCAACAAGGCAGCUGGGCCCUACCAGACACCUGCUCUGCCUGCAUCUUGAUCCUGGACUUCUUAGCUUCCAGCACUGUGAGAAAUAAAUUUCUGUUGUUUGUAAGCCACCUAGUCUAGGGUGCUUUGUUGUAGUAGUCUGAACUAAUUAAGAUAAAGGCAAAGGGACACGAGCAGCAGAUCAGCCAGAUGGGCACAAUACAUCUGCUGCAAAGCUGUGCAAGGGAAAACUGAUUUAAUGCUGCCUUGGCAACUCUAUAUUCAUCUAGUUUAGUUAUUCAACGAGAAGUAAUUGACAUGAAAUUACAGCAAUAAGAUUUGAACUAAAGGAGAUAGAGCUCAGAUGGUAGAAAAUGUUUAAAAUGUAUGCAUGUGUGAAGUUUACUGUCUUAAAAUUGUUAAUAGGUUUGAAAUAUCUUAAAUAAUUAGUAAAAUAAUAAUCAUAAAUAAAAUAUGACAAAAAUAAAAAAGAAAUUACCUGUCAACAGAAUAAAAAGGUCAGUGUAUAUGGGCAAUCCUUUUGUUAUAUUUGUGUCUUAGUCCAUUCAGGUUGCUAUAAAAAUACUUUAAACUCAGUAAUUUAUACACAACAUAAAUUUAUUGCUCACAGAUCUAAAAGCUGGAAAGUUCAAGAUUAAGUCACCAGAAGAUUCAUUAUCUGAUGAGGGCUCUCUGCUUCACAAAUGGCACCUUCUUGCUGUAUCUUAGAUGAUAGAAGGGUAAGGAGAAAGGCAAGCUCACCUAAAUCUCUUUUUUUUUUUUAAAUAAGUGAACUAAUCACAUUCCUGAGAAUAUUAGUUUCAACACCUAGUCACUUUCUAAAGGCCCUGUCACUUAAUACCAACAUAUUGUGGCUUAGAUUUCCACAUAUUAAUUUGGGGGGACACAAAAUUCAGACCAUAGCAUUUGCCCCUGGCCACUCAAAAUUAAUGUCCUUCUCACAUGCAAAGUACAUUAAUUUAAUUCUAGUAGCCCCAAUUUCUUAACUUUUUCAAGAUAAACUUUAAAGUCUAAGUCCAGUCUCAACUAAAUAUAAUCUAAAUCACAUAGAGGUGAAAUUAAAGGUGUGAUUUAUCCUAAGGCAAAUUUCUCUCCAGCUGUGAGCCUGCAAAAUCAAGUAAGUUAUGUGCGUCCAACAUAAAAUAGUGAAACAUGCGUAGAAUAAACUUUUUCGUUCCCAAAAAGGAGAAAUCAGAAGAAAGCAAGGAGUAACAGGUCUCAAGUAAGUCUAAAACCCAAGGGGAAAAACAACAUUCAAUUUUAAGUCUUGAAAAUAAUUUUCUUUGACUCAGUAUUACAACUUCCAGACACACUGGCUUGUGGAAUGAACCUCCUCAAUAUUACAACUUCUAGACACACUGGCUUGUGGAAUGAACCUCCAGGCUCUGGACAGUCCCUUUCCCAUGGCUUAGCUGGGUGUAGCCCAAUUCUAGGGAUUGAGAAGUUGGAGAUGAAGUUUGCAGCUGAUUUGGUGUCUGGUAAAGGCCCUCUGCUUCAUAAAUGGUGCUUUCUUCAGGCAUUCUCAUAUAGCAGGAGGGCAAAGGGGAAAACAAGCUCACUCAGACCCCUUUUAUAAUGGCACUAAUCCCAUUCUGAAGGGUUCUAUUCUUAUAAUCUCCUUACCUCCCAAAGGUCCCACUGUUUGUUUGUUUUUUUUUUUUUUUUUUCUGGAGACGGAGUUUUGCUCUUGUUGCCCAGGCUGAAGUGCAAUAGCGGAUCUCGGCUCACCACAACCUCUGCCUCCCUGACCUCAGGUGUGCCGCCCGCCUCCGUUUCCCAAAAUGCUAAGAUUACAGGCGUGAGCCACCACGCCCGGCCUGGCCCCACUUCUUAAUAUCAACAAAUUGGGGAUUAGAUUGCAACAUACGAAUUUCGGAGGCAUGCAAACUUUCAAACUAUAGCACCUUUGUCACUAAGUUUUUCAGGUAAGAGACAGGAGCUACAGAUGUAGGAUUUAACAUAUUAGGGUAAAAAAAUCUGAAGUUCUAAGUUUGAAUGGAAAUAUUUAUUUGAACUAAUGAUUCAUAGCUUUAAAAUGUACAAUUUAUUCCAUUUUCCCUUUCCUUCAUCCUGCUCCUCUUCCUCCUCCUCCUUCUUACCCCUUCCUCUUUCUAAACUUUUGAAAUAUAAGGACUAUAAUUAGAUUCAGGUUAGAUCUUUUUCUUUUCUUUUCUUUUCUUUUUUUUAAUGCAAGAAUGCCUUAUAGGUGGCUCGUGUUUUUUCAUCUAGAGGUACAAAUAAGCUUUUUGUCUUUGUUUUCGUCAUACUAGUGGCUAUUAUUAUUGCCUAAAUCAAGAAAUUUAUUAGGAGUUUAUAAAAUGGGAUUUGUAUAUAAUUUCUUCU